UCAAGUUAUUAAGGGUGCAGGGCGGAUGCCUUGGCACUAGGAGCCGAUGAAGGACGUGAUAAGCUGCGAUAAGCUUCGGGGAGUUGCACGUAAACUUUGAUCCGAAGAUUUCCGAAUGAGGAAACUCACUUAGAGUAAUGUCUAAGUAUCAUUAAGUGAAUACAUAGCUUAAUGAGGGGAACUCAGGGAACUGAAACAUCUAAGUACCUGAAGGAAGAGAAAGAAAUUCGAUUCCGUAAGUAGCGGCGAGCGAACGCGGAUUAGCCCAAACCAAUAAAGUUUUCUUUAUUGGGGUUGCGGACAUAUCAUAACGAAGAGGUAUCGUAAUUGAAGAGGUUUGGAAAGACCCACCACAGAAGGUAAUAGUCCUGUAUGUUAAACGAGAAGACUUUAGAUAUGAUCCAGAGUACCACGGGACACGUGAAACCCUGUGGGAAGCAGGAGGGACCACCCUCCAAGGCUAAAUACUACCUAGUGACCGAUAGCGUAUAGUACCGUGAGGGAAAGGUGAAAAGAACCCCGGGAGGGGAGUGAAAUAGAACCUGAAACCCUGCACUUACAAGCUGUGGAAGCACAUUUCUUGUGUGACCGCGUACUUUUUGUAGAACGGGCCAACGAGUUACGUUAAGUAGCAAGGUUAAGCACUUAAGGUGCGGAGCCGUAGCGAAAGCGAGUUUUAACUGAGCGUUCAGUUACUUGACGUAGACCCGAAACCGGGCGACCUACCCAUGAGCAGGAUGAAGCGAAAGUAAAAUUUCGUGGAGGUCCGAACCCACGAGCGUUGAAAAGCUCGGGGAUGACUUGUGGGUAGCGGUGAAAUUCCAAUCGAGCCCGGAGAUAGCUGGUUCUCCCCGAAAUAGCUUUAGGGCUAGCCUCAAGGUGAGAGAUACGGAGGUAGAGCACUGAAUGUCCUAGGGGGUAUUGCACCUACCGAAGACUAUCAAACUCCGAAUGCCGUCAUCUUAUACUUGGGAGUCAGACUGUGGGUGAUAAGAUUCAUAGUCGAAAGGGCAACAGCCCAGAUCGUCAGCUAAGGUCCCUAAAUGUAAGUUAAGUGGUAAAGGAUGUGGGAUUGCACAGACAACCAGGAUGUUGGCUUAGAAGCAGCCACUCAUUCAAAGAGUGCGUAAUAGCUCACUGGUCGAGUGAUCCUGCGCCGAAGAUUUCCGGGGCUAAAACUUACUACCGAAGCUACGGCAUCAGUAAUGAUGGGUAGGGGAGCUUCCCAUACGGGUUGAAGCAUGACCGUAAGGACAUGUGGACAGUAUGGGAGUGAGAAUGUUGGCAUGAGUAGCGAGAUGUGGGUGAGAAUCCCACAGGCCGUAAACCCAAGGUUUCCAGGGGAAGGUUCGUCCGCCCUGGGUUAGUCGGGACCUAAGCUGAGGCCGAAAGGCGUAGGUGAUGGACAACAGGUUGAUAUUCCUGUACUACCGAUAACCGUUUGAGAGAAGGGAUGACACAGUAGGAUAAGCUAAGCACACUGUUGGUUAUGUGUGCCCAAGCAUUGAGGCAGUCAAAGUAGGCAAAUCCGCUUUGAUAAUGCUGGGAUGUGAUGGGGAGCGAAAUUUAGUAGCGAAGUAGCUGAUUUCACACUGUCAAGAAAAGUCUCUAUCGAGGUUAAAGGUACCCGUACCGCAAACCGACACAGGUGGGUGAGGAGAGUAUCCUAAGGCCAGCGAGAGAACUGUUGUUAAGGAACUCGGCAAAAUGACCCCGUAACUUAGGGAUAAGGGGUGCCACCAUCAGGUGGCCGCAGAGAAUAGGCCCAAGCGACUGUUUACCAAAAACAUAGGUUUCUGCUAAGUCGCAAGACGAUGUAUAGGAGCUGACGCCUGCCCGGUGCUGGAAGGUUAAGGGGAUCUGUUAGAGCAAUCGAAGCAGUGAACUUAAGCCCCAGUAAACGGCGGCCGUAACUAUAACGGUCCUAAGGUAGCGAAAUUCCUUGUCGGGUAAGUUCCGACCCGCACGAAAGGCGUAACGAUUUGGGCACUGUCUCAACAACAGACUCGGUGAAAUUGUAAUUCCGGUGAAGAUGCCGGAUACCUGCGACAGGACGGAAAGACCCCAUGGAGCUUUACUGUAGCUUGACAUUGGGUCUUGGUACUACAUGUACAGGAUAGGUGGGAGGCUUUGAAACCAGGACGCCAGUUUUGGCGGAGCCAUCCUUGGGAUACCACCCUUGUAGUACUGGGACUCUAACCAUAGGCCAUGAAUCUGGUCUUGGGACACUGUCAGGUGGGCAGUUUGACUGGGGCGGUCGCCUCCCAAAAGGUAACGGAGGCGCUCAAAGGUUCUCUCAGUACGGUCGGAAAUCGUACGUAGAGUGUAAAGGCAAAAGAGAGCUUGAUUGCAAGACAUACAGGUCGAGCAAGGAUGAAAAUCGGACUUAGUGAUCCGGUGGUUCUGCGUGGAAGGGCCAUCGCUCAACGGAUAAAAGCUACCCUGGGGAUAACAGGCUUAUCUCCCCCAAGAGUCCACAUCGACGGGGAGGUUUGGCACCUCGAUGUCGGCUCAUCACAUCCUGGGGCUGUAGUAGGUCCCAAGGGUUGGGCUGUUCGCCCAUUAAAGUGGUACGCGAGCUGGGUUCAGAACGUCGUGAGACAGUUCGGUCCCUAUCCGUCGCAGGCGUAGGAAAUUUGAGAAGACCUGUCCUUAGUACGAGAGGACCGGGAUGGACGUACCUCUGGUGUACCAGUUGUCCUGCCAAGGGCAUGGCUGGGUAGCUAUGUACGGAAUGGAUAAGCGCUGAAAGCAUCUAAGCGCGAAGCCAACUUCAAGAUAAGAUUUCCCACCGCAAGGGUAAGACCCCAGAAAGACUAUCUGGUUAAACUGGAUCAAACAGAAAUGGAUAAAGUGAAUGUCGAUUUGGCGGC
rnacentral:rRNA from 1 species